rnacentral:rRNA from 1 species
CGGCGGACGGGUGAGUAACGCGUAGGAAUCUACCUGGUAGUGGGGGACAACAUGGGGAAACCCAUGCUAAUACCGCAUACGCCCUAUGGGGGAAAGCGGGGGACCUUCGGGCCUCGCGCUAUCAGAUGAGCCUGCGUAGGAUUAGCUUGUUGGUGAGGUAAAGGCUCACCAAGGCGACGAUCCUUAGCUGGUCUGAGAGGAUGAUCAGCCACACUGGAACUGAGACACGGUCCAG